AAUAAUUAAAGAAAAAGGUGCAUGUGGGCCUUGUACACGCGUGCUAAGCCCAGUUAGAGAUAGGGUACUCUGUUAUGUGAAUGUGUACGCAUUCAGAAUUUCAUUUUGGUGAAGUUAGAAUUCCUCACCUGUUCAGUGAGUUGCUAGGAGGAAGAAAAAAAACAGAUCGGCCGGGAGAAGAAUCUUGUCGUAUCGCCGCCGUCAAUGGUGCCAAAAUGGUGAAACCGCCGCGCUCCCUGCUCCGACCUCCUCUAACCGAAACGGUAAACAAACCUCCGCGCCGAUGCAGGAUAUCUCAGCAAGCGACGACGAGGAUGACGGCUUCGUCGAUGACGCCAACUUCGUGAAUCCGGUGACCUCUUCGCACUAGCCACUCCUUCCUCUUACUUUUCUUUCACUAUCGAUCUGCUUCUGGUAAGGUGAAGUGAAAGUGAUGUUGAUGCUGAUUGAUUGAAAAAGGGGGGGGCUGUUAUUCAACAGGUUUUGGGAAAGUUUUGAAGAGUUGGUUUUGAAUUGGGAACUUCCAAAAGAGCUUUUGGAAGAGUCUGUGAAAUUUGCUUCAAACUUGUGUUUACAGCUUAUUCUAAUUUUUUUAAUAAAAUUAUUUUUGAUGUAACAGAGGUUUUUUUGGAUUAUGAACUUAGGGAUUGCUUGUAACAUGUGCAAAUUUAAUUUGGAAUUUUUCUUUUUGGACAGUUAUGUAAUUGUUUUGGAUUAUUAGGAAUUUUUGGAUUAGUUAGGAUAUAUUAACUGUAAGAAAAAUUGGGUUAGACGUGUAACACUUUGAAUCAUUUGCAAAAUUUACAUAAUUUUAAUUUAAGUUUUUUUUGUUAUUUA